GGGUCCCCUCCACCUUCCUAUCGACACUCAGAGGUACCUGCUUCCUGCAAAGUGAGAAUUCCGCCCGGGUCUCCCAAACCUCCUAUUCCACCGGUAUCUGAGGAGGAGAGGAGAUUUGGGACCUCUAGGCUUCCACCCUGCAAGGACUCAGCAAUUAACUAAAAAAGCAUAGGAUGAAAAGGAUCACGCUACAAAAAUCUGAGAAAACGUUUAGAUCUUCCAGUGGUGUGCCCAUUGUCACUGUAACUGAGUCCAUCCACUGGGUCAUCCUCUUCUUUUCCAAGCAGGUAGGUCUUUGUAUAAUAUAUCCAAAGUAUAACAAUUUGAGCUUGUUUGUUUAUUCCUUGAGUGAGAAUUCUGGGUUGAUUGUUCAGUGAUCCAUUGUUUUCUUUUCUUGGCUUCUCCAACCCCCAAGUUUAAAAGUGUCAAUAUUCUUCCUCUUAUGCUUGUCACAAGGAGUUCCAUUGUUUCCGUUAUUCUGAUCUUUGUAGAUAUAGACAUAUCAUGGCACUUGUAUAUCUUUUUCAAGGAGAGUGAAAUUAGGAUGAUUAAACACAGUCACCACUCUAAAGCAGGGAUACACAAUGUUGGGAUUUUAGAUGCAAUCUAGUAAACAUAGUCAGUUGAUGCAACCAAAAAUUGCAUGGUGCAGAGGAAAUAGAGUGCUCCAAAAUUAUGAGGUAAAUAGAGGUACAGAUUGAGGAAAAGGAUAACAAAAACUCAACCUGCUUACACUGGAAUGGAAGUUUAACUAGGCUCAAAGAUCAGAUAGUUGGAGGAGGGAUACAAUGGAAGAAACAGUGUAGAUUGGGAGGAGGUAGAAAAUUAUUUCAGAGAUUGUAGAAAAGUCCAGGCUUAGAUAUGGAAAAGCAGAAGAGGGACAGAGAGGAAGGAAAUGUAUUUGAAAUCAUCACAGCUGAGGGUCUUCUUCCUCAAAGAAAGACUUCUAGAGGUAGUAGAGGUGAAAGAAAGGAAAGUACUAGAUUCUUCCUGCUGCUCUUUGCCUAUCUGGGAUUCCAUUCUCUAUAGCAGGGGUGUCAAACUGCCGGCCCAUAGGCCGGUUGCAUCAUGCGGAGGCUGCACCCACCCCAGCUCUGGCAAUGGAAAAAAAAGCCACAAUACAUUGCGAUACGUCACGUACCCUAUAUCCAAGAAGGGAGAAGGCAACCAAUGGAGUGCAAAGGAGUCAAGAAAUUAAUUGUUAUUCUGGCCAAUAUGGAUAGUUUUACCAGCAAGCAAAUUCCUAGGGGAUAGGUUGAAGGAGCCUUGGAACUAGGAGGGCUGGAUGAAAAAGCAGACUGGAAUCUUAUGAACCAAACUGGAAGAGAUCUACACUAGAAAGAAGGAUUAAGAAGAAAGAGUAGGGAGAACAGCUAUGUGAGCUUUUAGAGAGACAGCUGUUUACCAUGAAUACAUUUUCAGGGAAGAGGACAUAAAUGCUGUUAAAGUAGAGUAGAUGAACUGCAUCUUUAAGGAGCUUGGUCAGUUUGUUAUAGGAGAGAGAGAAAGGACUGGUCACUUAGAAAAAAACACUUCCAGGUGGAACCCUGGGAAAAUCAGCCCCUUUAAUUCAAUAGUGUUGUUUAAGGUUCCCAUUGUACCUGUAACAUUAGUUCAAGAACUCAUACAAGCUAAAUUAGAACACAUAAAAUGAAAAAGAGGGAAAUAACAGAAAAGUGGAAUAAGAAAGAAGAAACUCCAAAAAGAGAAAAAGAGGGAAAGGUAUGAAGGUAUAAAGAAGUAGCUUUCAACAUUGUUCACAGCAGUUAUAGGUACAAUUAUAUUUUAACCUCUUUCUCUAAGGUAACAUCAUGACUCUCUUCUUUCUCUAAUCUAUCCUAUCUAAUCAUCAAAACAAUAAAUCACAAGUUCACUUUUUUCAUCUUUGUGCAAAAAGUCCAGAAGGGGUUUCCAGUCACCAAUUAUAGAUGUUAGCCUUUCUUUAAUCAAAGAAGUCAAUUUUUCCAUCUCAGCAGGUUCUGCAAUUUCACCAUCAUUCCUCCAGCAGCAGGCUUGAUUAGAAUAAAUUCUACUGGAACUGUGGACCUCGCUGGGGAAUUGACUUUUGAAUUCAGACCAACUUCUGUGUGUCAAACUGGCGGCCCGUGGGCUGGAUGCGUCACGUGCAGGCCAUGCCCACCCCAGCUCUGCAAAGGGAAAAAAUGUUGCGAUACGUCACGAUACAUCUUGUGACGUGAUCGAGUUUGACACCUGUGCAGGGAUUACAGAGGUUCUUCAGCAAUCCAGCAUACAUAAGAAACAUAGCCAAUAGUCAAAGAUGCUGGUUUAGAUCUAGAGUGAUAUGAAGAGACCUACAGGUGAUUCUGACAUAAUAUAGAAAACUGUUGUUGUUGUUAAUUGCGAAG